CUGCACUAGUAAUAACUACAAAUGUUUGUCACAUGCCAGAGUAACUGGAGAGACUUUGACAGCCCAGGCCAGCACAGUGCCUGCAGCUGCCACUCAGCUUUCCUAUACAC